UACGAAGGGUGCUAGCGUUGUUCGGAAUCACUGGGCGUAAAGCGUACGUAGGCGGCUUUGUAAGUCGAUUGUGAAAUCCCCAGGCUUAACUUGGGAACUGCGUUUGAAACUACAAGGCUAGAGUGUAGCAGAGGGGGGUGGAAUUCCACGUGUAGCAGUGAAAUGCGUAGAGAUGUGGAGGAACACCGAUGGCGAAGGCAGCCCCCUGGGUUAACACUGACGCUCAGGCACGAAAGCGUGGGGAGCAAACAGG
rnacentral:rRNA from 1 species